rnacentral:rRNA from 1 species
GUUGAACGCUGGCGGCGUGCCUAAUACAUGCCAGUCGAGCGAACGGACGAGAAGCUUGCUUCUCUGAUGUUAGCGGCGGACGGGUGAGUAACACGUGGAUAACCUACCUAUAAGACUGGGAUAACUUCGGGAAACCGGAGCUAAUACCGGAUAAUAUUUUGAACCGCAUGGUUCAAAAGUGAAAGACGGUCUUGCUGUCACUUAUAGAUGGAUCCGCGCUGCAUUAGCUAGUUGGUAAGGUAACGGCUUACCAAGGCAACGAUGCAUAGCCGACCUGAGAGGGUGAUCGGCCACACUGGAACUGAGACACGGUCCAGACUCCUACGGGAGGCAGCAGUAGGGAAUCUUCCGCAAUGGGCGAAAGCCUGACGGAGCAACGCCGCGUGAGUGAUGAAGGUCUUCGGAUCGUAAAACUCUGUUAUUAGGGAAGAACAUAUGUGUAAGUAACUGUGCACAUCUUGACGGUACCUAAUCAGAAAGCCACGGCUAACUACGUG